rnacentral:lncRNA from 1 species
UUUUGCUCCUCCCAAAGCAGGGGGCGGCUCCACUGUGCUUCUGAUGACCCGGCCGCCGCCGCCGCCCUGCAACCGCUCCCCGGGACCCCUCAACGCUGACACUGAUGACCCGCGGCGGGGGCGCUGGGCGCGGGGUGCGCAGGCCACUGGCCGCGGGCUCUCGGGCCCGCUCCUGCCGCCGGCUUCUGCUGCUUCCGCGUGCCGUGGACACUGCCAGAAUUUGUCAAAGGUCCUAGGAAGAAAAGGCUCUUUCACCCCUCCCCUCAAUGAACAGAUGGCGUGUUUGGACUGUUCGCAUUCGCUCCUCAUAGGUGGGAUCCUGGAGGAAGUUAAGGGGUGCUCCGUUCCCUGGGGAUGGGACAGCAGCUCGCCUUUUUACUAAUAGCUAUAAGGGACUGUCAGACAUUUACCUGACUAGACCUUCACCUCAGAGCUCAGAAGGGGAACAGCUCCAGAACUAAAAGAGAGAGCCUCUGGCAGACCCCAAAAGACAGCAUGUGGAGUGAAGCUGGGCUUCCCUGCCCAAUCACUAGGAUCAUUUAUUGCACAAAUACCUGUAUUUUAAGCUGCAGAUUAUUGUGAAUUUUUGUAUUUUCUUCAUUUCCAUUUAGCUUUUUUUCAAUUUUAGAAUAGCCUUUCUCUAGAUAACUCGAGGAAGUGGGAGACGGAAUUUCCUUUGUUUCUGUCUUGAGCCCAAAGGGACAAUUGAGUGUCAGGUAUGACAGGGAUAAAGGGAGAAACUCAGAAAUAAUGCUUUUGUUUUGUUUUGUUUUGUUUUGAGAUGGAGUCUCGCUCUUGUCGCCCAGGCUGGAGUGCAAUGGCAUGAUCUUGGCUCACUGCAAACUCCACCUCCUGGGUUCAAGCGAUUCUCCUCCUCAGCCUCCCAAGUAGAUGGGCUUACAGGCAAGCGCCAUCACGCCCGGCUAAUUUUGUAUUUUUAGUAGAGAUGGGGUUUCACCAUAUUGGUCAGUCCGGUCUUGAACUCCUGACCUUGUGAUCCACCCACCUUGGCCUCUCAAAGUGCUGGGAUUACAGGCAUGAGCCACCGCACCCAGCCAGAGGAAUGUUUUGGGUGCUACACGUGCAGCCCCUCAUGACUGUAUCUCCUCAGAGCUCUUUUCUUCACAUUCCUGAGUGCUUUGUGUUUUGUUUAUUUAAGGGACAAAUGAAUCUCUUCCCACGCCAUGGGAUUUCCCUUGAUUUUUAUAUUGGGAGUGAAAAGAUGAAGCAUGAGACUCUUCAGCUGCAUCUCGAACUGCAUCUAAUCCCAGCACAUCUCUCUCAAUCUUUGAUUAAGUCUGUUCAUCUAAAAGAGAGACACAGGGGAAAAAUGGAAAUGGGACUUUGGAAGAAUGACCAUCCACAUUCCCAUCACAGCCUGAGAUUUCCUACCUGAUUGAGAUUUUCAGUAGAUGGCCCUAGGUCUAGUUUCCCACUUUGGACCUGCUGCCCUUGGCUCCAAUAGAGGACUUCCAAGUAACUAGGAAGAUUUCACCUCUCUUUUGAAACAUAAUGGACAAAUGUGUUUCUUUAGGAUGAGAGGUGCACCUGGCUAGUCAAUCUUUAUUUUCCUAAAAUAAACAGGAUGAAAACUCAAAACAAAAAGAAAUACCUCAUGGGCAAAAGCUCUCCCAAUACAACUAAUACAGACACUCAACAUGGCUUUGUAGAAACUGACCCCUCUCCCAAGUCUUAUGUUUGUCAGAAUUGCAUGCCUAUUUCAAUCGAAGAAAAGUGAUCUGAUCUCUUCAGAUGAAGGUGGGACUUGGAGAUGCUGCUGCCUAGAGUUAACUUGCCAGAGAAAGGAUAAGCAUUCGGGAAGUGCCAGGAUGGGGUAUCAGCUGAACAAUGGCAGGAUCCCUUCUGCCAGUGGGCUGGCUCAGGGAGUAAACCUCCCCGGAAGGAAUUUUGUUUCUCUCUAGAAUCAAAGUGGGCAAAAUGAUCACCUUAUUCGCCUGGAGUGAACCAGGUUGAAACUGAGAAGGCAGACAUGGGUGAUAAGCCAGAUGAAGUCAUAUGUUAUAACUAAGCUAUGUACCUGUAACUUGCCUGGUAGUUUUUUCAUUCUCUCUAAACAGGUCAUAAUAAGUGUUAGUCUGUGAUCCACUAUGGAGAGAGAUUUCUGGAAAGAAUAGAGGCAGUGGUAGAGGGUCCAAGGUUGUUAUUUAAGGAGAUGAAUGUGGGUCAGGUGCCGUGGCUCACACCUGUAAUCCCAGCAUUUUGGGAGGCAGAGGCAGGAGGAUUGCUUAAGGCCAGAGUUCAAGACCAAACUGGCCAAUAUAGUGAGAUCCCCCCCCCAUCUCUACAAAAGAUAGAAAAACUUAGCCAGGCAUGGUGGCAGGUGCUAUAGUCCCUGCCACCAUGGGACUACAGCUCCUGCAGUCCCAGCUACUCAGGAGUUGAGGCGGAAGGAUUGCUUGAGCCCAGAAGUUCGAGGUUGCAGUGAGCCAUGAUCAUGCCACUGCACUCCUCCGUGGGUGACAGAGCGAGACCUGACUCAAUAAUAAUAAUAUUAAUAAUAAUGAUAAUGCAACACAAACUAUCUUUUACCUCUUGAACAAUGAAUGCAGAUGCCAUGACUACAUCUGUUUGUUGGGGACCAGGGAGGCUGCCAGUGAGGAUUCAGGGUGGAAGUAGUGUGUACCCAAUACCUAUUGUGAGAUGUGGCCUGGGGAGCCCUGAGAUUGCCUGGCCAGGCUCACUCACUACCCAGACACCCUCUUCCUGCAUGGCGAGUCCCUCAGCCCCUCCAAGGCUCAAUUCUCAGACAUCGGAGUAAUCCACAUCCUCCAUCUUGAGUUACUCCUCACAAGGCCUGCAAGUUUUCCUAGGAGGAAGGGAAGACAGGGUUGAACCCACACAAUUCUAGAAUCUAGAAUUUGGAGGAUUUCUAAACCAUUUCUGUAAGUCAGCCCUUGAGAACUUGUAGAUUUUCUCAUCAUUUGCAGCAUGAGAGUCUGGAGUAGACUGUUUGGAUUUGACUCUUGGUUCCUUGGGCAAGUUACUUAACCUCUCAGCUGUGUGUCAGUUUCCUUAUCUAAAAAGUGUGGUUAAUAAUAACUGACCUCUCAGAGGUAUUGUGAGGUUACUGUGAUGAUUAAAUUAGUUGAUUCAUAUAAAAUGUUUAAAAGAGUGCCUGGCAUUAUUAUUAAUAGUAAUAAGUUUAGCAUAAGUCUUGCCUGCCAAUAAGGAGCUGGAUUGAAUGACUACUUUGAUUCUAUUUCUUGGCCUUCUCUUCUCUGGACUAGGUGACCCCAACUUUCUCCUUACUCCUGAAAAAUUUAUCCCAGUCUGCUAAGGAAGAGAAAGCCCAUGUGUGCACAUACACACAUGCACCUACACAAACAUUUACAUACAGUUUUGCUCUUCUAUACAGAGUUAAUAGAGCUACUAGAGUGUCUAGGAACCAAUCUGAAAGAGAAAGGAAACACUGCUUUUUUUUUGUUUGUUUUUUGAGAUGGAGUCUCACUCUGUCACCAGGCUGGAGUGCAGUGGCGCAAUUGUGGCUCACUGCAAACUCCACUUCCCUAGUUCAAAUGAUUCUCCUGCCUCAGCCUCCCGAGUAGCUGGGACUACAGGCGUGCAUCACCACACCCAGCUAAUUUUUGUAUUUUUAGUAGAGAUGGGGUUUCACCAUGUUGGCUAGGAUGGUCUUGAUCUCUUGACCUCGUGAUCUGCCUGCCUCAGCCUCUCAAAGAGCUGGGAUUACAGGCAUGAGUCACCACGCCCGGCCGAAACACUGCUUAUUACAAUUUAUAGGUUUAUGUUCAAAAAGUUGCUAAUCUUAUUGCUGUGAACCCCUGCCAUCUCUAGUCCUGCCCACCUAUAGGUACUGCAGACCAAAUUACAGAUUCAGAUUUGCCCAGUUCCUGUUCCUGUCUUGACCAAUCCUAGUAACUUAUUUGGGGCCCAGCCCCAUCUUCAGUGGAAGGUCUAAAAUUGGCCUUGCUUCCUUAAGCUGGGUACACAGUGGGCCCAGGACUAAGCCUCAUGAAGCUUUUAGAGGCCCACUGAGAUUAACCUUUCUCACCAGUGCUCACCUUGUCUUCCUAGUGACCAUGGCUGCCUUCUGUCUAGUUCUAGAGUUGCACUCUAAUUCUCUUCCAGCGCUGUUGCCCUGAUCUACAUAUCUAUCUCUUUUAGAACUUUCCAGCUUAUGUGUCCAAUGUCAGUCUUUCUUCCAAAUAAAUAGAACUUUAUCUUGAUGAAUAUUUAAUGUUCAACCCACCCCUGGUCCCUGGCUAGAAUCAUCUCUGAAAUGUCUAAAGCUCUGCCACUACCUGCACCAGGAGAAGCAAUGUGUCACCACCAACCUAAUAGCAACCAUCAGCUUUGCUGGAGUUAUCCAUUCACCGAACUGAAUCUAUCAGCUUUCCUGAGUUCACUGGGACACUGAUUUGGACCGGACACCAUCACUUGAGAAACAGCGUUA